UACAUUUUAGUAUAUGAUGUACUUGAAUUUUUGGUAUUUAAGGGAAUGGUUUAAUUCCAUUAAAUGUAA
rnacentral:tRNA from 1 species